UACAGAGGUCUCAAGCGUUGUUCGGAUUUAUUGGGCGUAAAGGGCGCGUAGGCGGCGGGGUAAGUCGGGUGUGAAAUCUCAGGGCUCAACCCUGAAACUGCACUUGAUACUGCUCUGCUUGAUGACUGGAGAGGAGACUGGAAUUCACGGUGUAGCAGUGAAAUGCGUAGAUAUCGUGAGGAAGACCAGUGGCGAAGGCGGGUCUCUGGACAGUUCCUGACGCUGAGGCGCGAAGGCCAGGGGAGCAAACGGG
rnacentral:rRNA from 1 species